rnacentral:rRNA from 1 species
AACCAGCACCUCAAGUGGUCAGGAUGAUUAUUGGGCCUAAAGCAUCCGUAGCUCGUUUUGUAAGUUUUCGGUUAAAUCCAUACGCUCAACGUAUGGGCUGCCGGGAAUACUGCAUAACUAGGAAGUGGGAGAGGUAGACGGUACUCGAUAGGAAGGGGUAAAAUCCUUUGAUCUAUUGAUGACCACCUGUGGCGAAGGCGGUCUACCAGAACACGUUCGACGGUGAGGGAUGAAAGCUGGGGGAGCAAACCGGAUUAGAUACCCGGGUAGUCCCAGCUGUAAACUAUGCAAACUCAGUGAUGCAUUGGCUUGUGGCCAAUGCAGUGCUGCAGGGAAGCCGUUAAGUUUGCCGCCUGGGAAGUACGUACGCAAGUAUGAAACUUAAAGGAAUUGGCGGGGGAGCACCACAAGGGGUGAAGCCUGCGGUUCAAUUGGAGUCAACGCCAGAAAUCUUACCCGGAGAGACAGCAGAAUGAAGGUCAAGCUGAAGACUUUACCAGACAAGCUGAGAGGUGGUGCAUGGCCGUCGCCAGCUCGUGCCGUGAGAUGUCCUGUUAAGUCAGGUAACGAGCGAGAUCCCUGCCUCUAGUUGCCACCAUUAUUCUCAGGAGUAGUGGGGCGAAUUAGCGGGACCGCCGCAGUUAAUGCGGAGGAAGGAAGGGGCCACGGCAGGUCAGUACGCCCCGAAACUCUGGGGCCACACGCGGGCUGCAAUGGUAGUGACAAUUGGUUCCGAAUCCGAAGGGAGGAGGUAAUCCCUAAACGCUACCACAGUUAUGACUGAGGGCUGCAACUCGCCCUCACGAAUAUGGAAUCCCUAGUAACUGCGUGUCAUUAUCGCGCGGUGAAUACGUCCCUGCUCCU